GUUGGAGGCCUUAAAGCUCCAGAUUCCACCACAGGGAAGCCCAGAGAAGAAAACAACUGCAGCAAUUGAUGGACAAUAUGCCUUAUCAGUUGUACAGCAAAACCGAAGUUCACCAACUGGUGGUGCAGGAAUGUCAGAGAAUGUGGAAGACCAGAUGUUUCGUUCUGUGGAAGGUCAGGCUGCAUCGGAUGAAGAGGAAGAGAAAUGGACAGGAAACCAACAGUGUCAACUUGCUGAAGUGAAGAAACUCCUUGCCAGACUUCCUUGUUGCAAUAAUGGAUGUGAUGACACAGUGAUGAAGAAGCUGAUAUAUCACUUUGAGAACGCCAGCAAGGAAGGCCAUGAGAACACCAUUGUGGAAUUAGUCAAGCAGUUGUCAGUGUUAACAGAACAGCUUGAAGUGAAAGAGCAGGAAGUAAAAAUACUGGAAACAAAUAUGGAAAAGGUAAAUAGGUUUGUAGUUUGCCUUUUGGGGAGCGUUGCUGGUGUCUAA
rnacentral:lncRNA from 1 species